UUACACGUUAAUUAACUCAUGAUC
rnacentral:siRNA from 1 species